GAUGAACGCUGGCGGCGUGCCUAACACAUGCAAGUCGAGCGAACAGACGAGGAGUUUGCUCCUCUGACGUUAGCGGCGGACGGGUGAUUAACACGUGUAUAACCUACCUAUAAGACUGGGAUAACUUCGCGAAACCGGAUCUAAUACCGGAUAAUAUAUUGAACCUCAUUGUUCAAUAGUGAAAGUCGGUUUUGCUGUCACUUAUAGAUGAAUCCGCGCCGCAUUAGCUAGUUGGUAAGGUAACGGCUUACCAAGGCAACGAUGCGUAGCCGACCUGAGAGGGUGAUCGGACAGACUGGAACUGAGACACGGUCCAGACUCCUACGGGAGGCAGCAGUAGGGAAUCUUACGCGAUGGGCGAAAGCCUGACGGAGCAAAGCGGCGUGAGUGAUGAAGGUCUUCGGAUCGUAAAACUCUGUUAGUAGGGAAGAAGAAAUGUGUAAGUAACUAUGCACGUAUUGACGGUACCUAAAGAGAAAGCCACGGCUAACUACGUG
rnacentral:rRNA from 1 species